AAGGUUGCAAAUCAGUUGAGCGCGCAACUAGUUUACAACCAAAACAAAACUUCUGUCCGCACACGAGCAAGACUGUUUGCGGAUCAGUUGGUAUUUUCUAUUCAAAUAGUGCAGUUGUUUUUCCAGUUUUUGCUAUGUCGAGUUCUGAUUCAGAUGAGGAAGACAUCAUUAAUUAUUACCAAUACCGCAGGCUUCGCAGGGUACAGAGAGAGCAUUGGGUCCACCCUUACUUAAGAGAAAAUGUUUACUCUAGGCUGUUCAUAGCAGCAAAAGAACUUUCCCAAACAGAUAGAAAGUUCUUAGCUUUUUAUAGAAUGUCAAAAGAAUCAUACAUGGAAUUGUCAAGGAUGGUUGGCCCUUUCAUAGAGAAGAUGGACACAAAUAUGAGGGAAUGUGUUCCUGCAGGAGAAAGAUUAUUGAUCACACACACUGAGAUGCUGAAAGAAGGGGAACUGAAUAAUGGUAGAAAUAAUAAGUGUAGUUCAUUAAAAAUUAAAUAAUUACAUAAUUAAACAGUGAUGCAGUUAUUUGAUAACGUUACAAACUUUCCAAAAGUAUAAAAAAAAAAUGUACUCACAUGUACGAUAAAUCUCGACAC